GUGCGAUUCACCUUUACUAACGGCGAGUGAUUUUAACACAACCGCGGAACGAAAGCUCAGUGUUUGACUAGAGACAGCAGAGAUGUGGCCCAGAAUGACACCGCUUCGGGAGCUGCAUAAAAACGAACACAAGAAUGUCGCCUUAAUAUUACGAGCCAUUGACCAUGUGAUCAGUAAGGAUGAAGACUGUAUCCAGAAACUUGUUCAUCGCGGCUUGGUUGUGAAGAUAAGCAUUUUUAAUUCAUUCAGAUUAACAUUUAAAAGAUCACGAGUAUGCAUACUAGUCAGUAUAUUCAUUUACAAUGUGCUGUCGUUUUACAUGCUGAAUUGGUUUGAGACGGUGUCAGAGAAUCUUAAAGAACCGCACAAACGAUCCAAGGUGGCCAUGAAGCUCAUCGAAGUUUUCUACGAAGUUUCCAUGAGUCUGUGUCAGAUCACCACUGCAGGCAGUAAUAAGAUCCUGGAUAUUUUUCUGCUGCGGGUUGGGGCUGUUGUGCUGGAUCAUGAAGUGCCUUUCUGUUUACGUCUAGAGGCUAUCAGAACCAUAAACUCCAUGUUGGACAGUAGUCCUAAAGACAUCAGGAAGAAACUCUGCCAGUCAGAUGACCAUAUCGGGCUCUUAGAAGACUUGGCAAAAGCGCUGAUUGACAUUGGUGAUUAUGAAAUGCAGGUGGCAAUUUCUGAGGCACUCUGUAGGAUGACGCCAAAGAAACUGAGAGAAGACUUUGCUGGCAAAUGGUUCAGUUUCAGAAGCUUUGCUUCAGCUUUUACUUCAAUUUGUGACAAAGAUUUUGAAACUGACUGCAGGACAUUUCUGAAUGAACUCAACAGCUAUUUUGGGAACUCGAGAAGAGUCUUCUCAUUCCCUUGCAUUAGGGUAUUUCUUGACUCAACUGAACUCUUCAAGCCCGAGGAUGAGUCUCUAAAGGAGUUUUGGGUGGAUUUCAACAUUGGAACAUCAACUAUUAGUUUCUUUGUAAAUGACCCACAGAACACACUGUGGGAGCUGAUUCAUCUGCCUAAAAAUGCCAUCAACUUGUAUGAUCUACAAGAGCAAGGUGAUCAUAAGAUAUUGACCAUUCACAUGAUUAUCCCGGUCUGUCAUGGAGAGAUCACUGGCAAAAUGGUCCAAAUCAUCUUUGGCUUGGAGCACAACAUCCAAACUGCCCUGACAAGAGUGUUUGAAGAGAAACCACAGCCUGCCCCUGACUCAAAGGAUUCUGUGAAAUUAGAAGAGGACUUAGCUGUGACAGAAGGGACCCAGCAUGGGCAAACUGAGAUGCCACAGACAGUUACCAGUUCACCUGCUGAAGAGACCAAAGACAUCAGUAAGGUUUCCUUCCGUCUGAGUGGACCAAGCAGAUAUCCUAGACCAAUGGUUAAAAGUUCCCCUGGAGAAGAUAUCUUUUACUUAAAGGAUCAUUCAGAUUCAGAGGUGAUGCUUGAGGUGUCCCAAUGUCUGAGUGAAACUUUUGAAACAGACCGGUCAGGGAAGUCACAUGACAGGAAGCCAGAGACUAUAACAUUCAUGAGCGCCUUAUGGCACUACCAGGUUGUUCUAGCCAAGACAAUGUUGUUCUGUCAGAAGCCAUCUUCUAAUGGGUCCACAAAAUCCCUCCCUGACACUCUGAGCAAAACACCUGUGAAGAAGAGGACACGGGUGCUGCGUUCAGAUGAAGGGUUCCUCCGCAGAGAAACCCCUCGCAUUGACUACAGCAGGAGGAAGCCCAGAGCCAAGAGCAAAUUCAGGGUUCUCCCUCUGUCCUCACCCAGCAGUAAUGAGGAAUUCUCCAAGUUUUCAACACCCAAACACAGACUUCAUGGAAGGGAACGAAUGAAAAGUGAUGAAUGGCAGCCUCAAGUCAAAUUAUUGAGAUCACUGAAUAUCGAGUCAUCCCUUUUCACUUCUGAUUCAGGCUUUCAAGACAAGACUGUUGUUUCUGAAACCAGUUUACCGGUAGAGGAACCUGAUAAUCUUAUUGAAGAGGAACCCAGUUUAGAUAAAGAAGCAUCACCCCCUCCCCAAAGAAGUGAACCACUUGAAUCAUCAGAGCAAGAUGUGAGUUUAAAAAUUGACCAGCAGCAGCUGCCCAAACACCUGACAAUCAAACCCAGAAAACUGUUCCUGUCCAGCUCACUAGAGGACACUGCAGAGCGAGUAACUCAAGCGUUGGAGGAUGAGGAGUCAGAGGAAGAGUUGGGUUCUGGCGUCAGAGCCGCUUUUAACUCAUUUAAGACUCAACUGAGGGCACACUUCUCUAGCAGGUAUAAAAAGAUUGAAGCCAGAUCACUGCAGUCUUUAACUGAUUGUCAAAGGAAUGUGACCUCCCUCUUGGGAACGGUUCACAAUCAGAGGCUGGUGCAUUUGGAGCAGUUCCAGAACUCUGUGGUGCAGCAGUUGGCGUGUUUGGAGCAAGACUGUCUUUCUCUCAAAACUAUUGAGAGAGAAACUGUGAAUUUCUGGCAGUCUGAGUCUAACGCAGUUCGGGCGUUCUGUGAUAGACAGCAGAAGAGCCUCUGUCUACCAUGGCAGGCUGGAUUCUCUGAGACUCCCCCGUAAGAGCGCUGAUUCUUCACUUGGUCUUUUAGAGAGCAAAGAGGCCAAAAUAAGUGUGCCUGCAGAUAUCGUGACAUCCCAGUCUUCUGCAGAGCACUCAUCCAUGGGUGACCCGUCAGAAACCACUACAGCAGACCCCUCAUAAGAUAUCUUCACUGUGAUGCUUUCCUUUUCAUCUUACAUUUUUCUUUGUCUG